GAUUUCUGGCUUGAAACAUCUGGCCGGCCACGGUUUCGUGUGUUAGUGCUUGAUGUUCUGGCCAUCCUUCCAAUCGCUAUUGGCUAUUCUUCAUUGAAUGGUCAGUAGUAUUGGAUCUUUUACUUUGAAAAAAUUAGAGUGUUUCAAGCAGGCUUUAUGCUAUGAAUACAUUAGCAUGGAAUAAUAAUUUAGGACUUCGGUUCUAUUUUGUUGGUUUCUAGGACUGAAGUAAUGAUUGAUAGGGAUAGUUGGGGGUGCUAGUAUUCAGCGGCCAGAGGUGAAAUUCUCGGAUUCGCUGAAGACUAACUUAUGCGAAAGCAUU
rnacentral:rRNA from 1 species